rnacentral:rRNA from 1 species
AUACGUAGGGUGCAAGCGUUAAUCGGAAUUACUGGGCGUAAAGCGUGCGCAGGCGGUUUUGUAAGAAAGUGGUGAAAUCCCCGGGCUCAACCUGGGAACUGGCAUUGUGACUGCAAGGCUGGAGUGCGGCAGAGGGGGAUGGAAUUCCGCGUGUAGCAGUGAAAUGCGUAGAUAUGCGGAGGAACACCGAGGGCGAAGGCAAUCCCCUGGGCCUACACUGACGCUCAUGCACGAAAGCGUGGGGAGCAAACAGGAUUAGAUACCCGUGUAGUCCACGCCCUAAACGAUGUCAACUGGUUAUUGGGGAUUUAUUUUCUCAGUAACGAAGCUAACGCGUGAAGUUGACCGCCUGGGGAGUACGGCCGCAAGGUUAAAACUCAAAUGAAUUGGCGGGG